AAAUUGUUAGUGGCAGACGGGUGAGUAAUGCGUAGGAAUCUACCUAGUAGUACGGAAUAGCCAUUAGAAAUGGUGGGUAAUACUGUAUAAUCCCCGAGGGGGAAAGAUUUAUCGCUAUUAGAUGAGCCUACGUUAGAUUAGCUAGUUGGUGAGGUAAUGGCUUACCAAGGCUAUGAUCUAUAGCUGGUCUGAGAGGACGAUCAGCCACACUGGAACUGAGAUACGGUCCAGACUCCUACGGGAGGCAGCAGUGGGGAAUAUUGGACAAUGGGCGAAAGCCUGAUCCAGCUAUGCCGCGUGAGUGAAGAAGGCCUUCGGGUUGUA
rnacentral:rRNA from 1 species